rnacentral:rRNA from 1 species
UACAGAGGGUGCAAGCGUUGUUCGGAAUUAUUGGGCGUAAAGGGCGCGUAGGCGGUUCGGCAAGUCUCUAGUGAAAUCUCUGGGCUCAACUCAGAGUCUGCUGGGGAAACUGCCGGGCUUGAGUGUGGGAGAGGAGAGUGGAAUUCCCGGUGUAGUGGUGAAAUGCGUAGAUAUCGGGAGGAACACCAGUGGCGAAGGCGGCCUUCUGGACAGUGACUGACGCUGAGACGCGAAAGCGUGGGGAGCAAACAGG